GUGCUCGCUUCGGCAGCACAUACACUAAAAUUGGAACCAUACAGAGAAGAUUAGCAUGGCCCCUGCGCGAGGAUGACACGCAGAUUCGUGAAGCGUUCCAUAUUUUU
rnacentral:snRNA from 1 species